CCCUCAGGAAUAUGUCUGUCUGUCUGUCUAGGAAGAGGAAGGAAGAUAUUUCCCCUCAGGAAUAUGUCUGUCUGUCUGUCUAGGAAGAGGAAGGAAGAUAUUUCCCCUCAGGAAUAUGUCUGUCUAGGAAGAGGAAGGAAGAUAUUUCCCCUCAGGAAUAUGUCUGUCUAGGAAGAGGAAGGAAGGUAUUUCCCCUCAGGAAUAUGUCUGUCUAGGAAGAGGAAGGAAGAUAUUUCCCCUCAGGAAUAUGUCUGUCUAGGAAGAGGAAGGAAGAUAUUUCCCCUCAGGAAUAUGUCUGUCUGUGUAUCUAGGAAGAGGAAGGAAGAUAUUUCCCCUCAGGAAUAUGUAUGUCUGUGUAUCUAGGAAGAGGAAGGAAGAUAUUUCCCCUCAGGAAUAUGUCUGUCUAUCUAGGAAGAGGAAGGAUGAUAUUUCCCCUCAGGAAUAUGUCUGUCUGUGUAUCUAGGAAGAGGAAGGAAGAUAUUUCCCCUCAGGAAUAUGUCUAUCUAGGAAGAGGAAGGAAGAUAUUUCCCCUCAGGAAUAUGUCUGUCUAGGAAGAGGAAGGAAGAUAUUUCCCCUCAGGAAUAUGUCUGUCUAGGAAGAGGAAGGAAGAUAUUUCCCCUCAGGAAUAUGUCUGUCUAGGAAGAGGAAGGAAGGUAUUUCCCCUCAGGAAUAUGUCUGUCUAGGAAGAGGAAGGAAGAUAUUUCCCCUCAGGAAUAUGUCUGUCUAGGAAGAGGAAGGAAGAUAUUUCCCCUCAGGAAUAUGUCUGUCUAGGAAGAGGAAGGAAGAUAUUUCCCCUCAGGAAUAUGUCUGUCUGUCUGUCUAGGAAGAGGAAG